CGGAAGAUGGUGUGUACGUGGUUAAUUUGUAAGGUUACCACACUAUUGCACGAUGACCAGAAAACGACCGACACACCACCAUUUCGUUCUAUUUAAAGUUUGAACUUAUGCUUCUUUCCUUACUUCACACUCAUACAUCGGAAACAAAAAAAUCAUAGUCAUGGCUAAGUUUGCUUCCAUCUUCUCUCUUCUCUUUGCUAUUCUUGUUUUCUUUGCUGCACUCGAAGCACAAACAAUGGUGGAAGCUGCACAGAAGCUGUGUGAGAGGCCAAGUAUUGGGACUGCACGAGGAAUUUGUAGUGUCAGUAAUUUUCCGUGCAAGGAUCAUUGCAUCCGAGUUGAGAAAGCACCACAUGGAUCUUGCCAAUUUACAUUCCCAGUUCAUAAGUGUAACUGUUACUUUCCAUGUUAAUAGACUACAAUAUUUUAAUGCUUAAUAUUAUGCGUUUAAUUCACAUAAAAUAAGUCUGUAUCACUCCAUGAGUGCGCUUUAUGACAUAUAUAUACCAGUUAUGAUUAUGUUGAAUUCUUAUAAUAGUGUAAAUUUUAUACU